CCUGCCUCUAAUGGCACCCACCAUUAAGUCGGAUCUCAGCAACCAUCUGCGUGGCAGGAGCUAUCACACUGGAGCCUCGCAGUAGCCAAGGAGAGACGCCAAUGAGGGAAUCAUUUUUCCACUUGGUGAAAUACAUUUUUGCCCCGUGAAAGCACGAGGAGGGCCUGUCUUGGAUAGGUGGAGUGGUCCUAGGUCCUACUAGAUGGAAACCUCAGGACUCGGAAGAGGUUCACCUUCGGAGCGAGUCCCCCUAAGGCCAGCCGUAGGAUCUGCAUUGAGUUCAGCAAGCGGAGGCGACUUCCCCAGGGCCACACAGCCAUGGAGGGCUGCGGCUCAGUUGCUGACUGCUCCAGCUCACCCUCACGUCCAUGAGGUUUCUGCUCCAAAAUGCUAUUGCUAAGAAAAAUGUUCCAAACACGACCCAUUGGCUGACCACAGGUCUUCAUUAUAAAAGCAUCUGAAGGAGUUGCUGAAGGGGAUGUCCUGUUGGCUGGACCCUGUCGUGCUGGUUAUAUGUAAACUGGCUGAACUACCCAGUUCUUAAACUGUCACAUGUGAGUCCUUCCUUCCAAGGUCAGAGGCUCCUAUCCUUCAAGGGUUCAGGGCUCGUGGUGGGCUCAGCGGGAUCACAAACAUUGGCAUGGCCAGCCCAGUCUGGGGAAGCUGCAAGGGCCUGGGGGGUUGUGGCCUUGGGCAUCACAGCAUCAGACUUGGGGAGCCUGGUGACGAGAGCCUGUCUGAGAAAUGUGACUUGUUUCCAGGAGCAGUGGGAGCCCCUUCCCUCCCUGAUGAAGGGGGAGUGGCAGUUCCCUCCCUGAUGAAGGGAGAGCGGUGGGCACAUGGAUGACGCUGCCCCAAAUCGCUCCCCUAACCUUCCCAAAUGACGCCCCAGCCACUGUGGCUGCUGCUUUGAGAACGGACAGGAGCCUGGGGAGAAGCAGAAGGAAUGCAGAUACCGAAUUGUACAUUUUGUUUCACCGGCUGCCGUCAGCUGCUCGGCUUCCUCCCCUCAGGGCAGUGCUAUUUAACACUCUCUCUUCGAAUCUCGCCUUCCUGCCUCCCCCGUCUGCAGCCUCCCCUGCACUGCGCACCCGCUCACUCUCCCCUUCCCCCAGGAGAACACAUUCUGGCAGACAGAAGUUCAAAUGAGAAGUUAAAACGCUUUGAGGCAGCAGGCAGAGUGUCAGCAGAGCCGGUGGAAACCGCAGCCUUGGGGGCAACACGUGGACCCUGCUUGGGGAUAAAGCAGGACAGACAGAAGGAGCAGGACAGACAGGAGGAGUAGGACAGACAGGAGGAGCAGGACGGA
rnacentral:lncRNA from 1 species